AUUGAACGCUGGCGGCAUGCCUUACACGUGCAAGUCGAACGGUAACAGGUCUUCGGAUGCUGACGAGUGGCGAACGGGUGAGUAAUACAUCGGAACGUGCCUAGUAGUGGGGGAUAACUACUCGAAAGAGUGGCUAAUACCGCAUGAGAUCUACGGAUGAAAGCAGGGGAUCGCAAGACCUUGUGCUACUAGAGCGGCCGAUGGCAGCUUAGGUAGUUGGUGGGAUAAAAGCUUACCAAGCCGACGAUCUGUAGCUGGUCUGAGAGGACGAUCAGCCGCACUGGGACUGAGACACGGCCCAGACUCCUACGGGAGGCAGCAGUGGGGAAUUUUGGACAAUGGGCGCAAGCCUGAUCCAGCAAUGCCGCGUGCAGGAUGAAGGCCUUCGGGUUGUAAACUGCUUUUGUACGGAACGAAAAGCCCUGGGUUAAUACCCUGGGGUCAUGACGGUACCGUAAGAAUAAGCACCGGCUAACUACGUGCCAGCCGCCGCCGUAACAC
rnacentral:rRNA from 1 species